CCUACGGGUGGCAGCAGUGGGGAAUAUUGGGCAAUGGGCGAAAGCCUGACCCAGCAACGCCGCGUGAAGGAAGAAGGCUUUCGGGUUGUAAACUUCUUUUGACAGGGAAGAGCAGAAGACGGUACCUGUCAAAUAAGCCACGGCUCACUACGUGCCAGCAGCCGCGGUAAUACGUAUGGUGCACGCGUUAUCCGGAUUUACUGGGUGUAAAGGGAGCGCAGGCGGCACGGCAAGCCUGAUGUGAAAGCCCGCGGCUCAACCGCGGGAUUGCAUUGGGAACUACGGGGCUGGAGUGCCGGAGAGGUAGGCGGAAUUCCUAGUGUAGCGGUGAAAUGCGUAGAUAUUAGGAGGAACACCAGUGGCGAAGGCGGCCUACUGGACGGUGACUGACGCUGAGGCUCGAAAGCGUGGGGAGCAAACAGGAUUAGAUACCCCAGUAGUC
rnacentral:rRNA from 1 species